rnacentral:rRNA from 1 species
UGGGGAAUUUUGGACAAUGGGCGAAAGCCUGAUCCAGCAAUGCCGCGUGUGUGAAGAAGGCCUUCGGGUUGUAAAGCACUUUUGUCCGGAAAGAAAUCCUUGGCUCUAAUGCAGUCGGGGGAUGACGGUACCGGAAGAAUAAGCACCGGCUAACUACGUGCCAGCAGCCGCGGUAAUACGUAGGGUGCAAGCGUUAAUCGGAAUUACUGGGCGUAAAGCGUGCGCAGGCGGUUUGCUAAGACCGAUGUGAAAUCCCCGGGCUCAACCUGGGAACUGCAUUGGUGACUGGCAGGCUAGAGUAUGGCAGAGGGGGGUAGAAUUCCACGUGUAGCAGUGAAAUGCGUAGAGAUGUGGAGGAAUACCGAUGGCGAAGGCAGCCCCCUGGGCCAAUACUGACGCUCAUGCACGAAAGCGUGGGGAGCAAACAGGAUUAGAUACCCUGGUAGUCCACGCCCUAAAACGAUGUCAACUAGUUGUUGGGGAUUCAUUUCCUUAGUAACGUAGCUAACGCGUGAAGUUGACCGCCUGGGGAGUACGGUCGCAAGAUUAAAACUUAAAGGAAUUGACGGGGUCAUAGCUGUUUCCU